GCUUUAUAGUGGAAAAAAGACGUCAAAUUGCAAAUUUGAAGAUGUAUCAGUUACUAAAGCUUU
rnacentral:tRNA from 1 species